rnacentral:rRNA from 1 species
GACAGAGGGGGCAAGCGUUGUCCGGAGUUACUGGGCGUAAAGGGCGCGGAGGCGGUCUGCGGCGUCGGCGCUGAAAGCGCCCCGCUUAACGGGGCGAGGCGUGCCGAUACGCGCAGACUUGAGGCGAGCAGAGGGUGGUGGAAUUCCGGGUGGAGCGGUGAAAUGCGUAGAGAUCCGGAGGAACGCCAGUGGGGAAGCCGGCCACCUGGGCUCGUCCUGACGCUGCGGCGCGACCGCGUGGGGAGCAAACCGG